AUAAACAAUCGAGUAAAAUUCUAAGGAAGGAGAGAGAGAAGAAGGAAAAAGGGAGAGGGCGCACUAGAAACCAAUCCUUCGCGCGCUGGCGGUGGGAGGGCUCAAGGGGGGGACGCGAGAAGACAGCGGACGGGAGGAAGGGAGCCGACCUGGGACCCUGCGGCCGCCGGCGACAAGAAGGCGUCGGGGGCGGAAAGUUGCACCGCACUCGACUGGGUGCGACUGGCGGGGCCUGUCCCACUGAGAAGCCCGGAGUUUGCAUUUGGUUUACAGCCUGGGAGUGUGGACGGUGAUGUACGACCACAACUCGGCUUCAAGUGCCAGUGCUUGGGGUACAGGUUGGGUAUGGUGGUAUGGUGGUGGUUAAAAGCUGGUAUUGAGCUUUGCACGAAGAACUGGGAGGCUAGAUCACCCAGGGCCGCGCAUCGUGAUGCAGCAUAAAAUUCCAAGAAUUUUCCGUUGCUGGUUUAAAUACUUAUAACACUGUAGAAGAAAUCCACGCGUUUUCUUCUCUAAAUUUAAGCAAUCUUUUGUCUAAUUAGAGUGCAGACCUGCGAAAGUAGAAAUAAUGUGUUUACAGUGGCUGGGCUCUCAGCCAUUAGAUUUUCACUAUAAACAUGUUGAGUGUCCAUUUACAGAACGCAUAUCCCAGGGGCAUUCCAAAAGAGUGGAAGAGUCAAAGAUUCAGUAGAUUAACACAGCAUUGUGAGCUUCACAGUGAGGGGGGGGGGGUGCAGGCACAUGAUAAAGCCAUUUCCCUUGAAGAGCUUACUUGAGGGUAUAAGACAUGUUAAAAAGAAAUAUUGCAAGUUUAAAAAUAGUGGAAGGCGGGGUGCAGUGGCUCACACCUGCAAUCCCAGCACUUUGGGAGGCUGAGGCGGGAGGAUGCCUUGAGCCCAGGAGUUCGAGACCAGCCUAGACAACGUGACGAAAACCAGGUGUCUACAAAAAAUACAAGAAGUCCCAGCUAUGGGAGGCCGAGGUGUAAGGAUAGAUCGCUUGAUUCCAGGAGGUCCAGGCUGCAAUGAGCCAUGAUUGUACCACUGCAUUACAGCGUGGGUGACAGAGUGAGGCCUUGUCCUCCCUUCCCCACCACAGAGGAAAACAAAACAACAACAACAAAAAAACAGUAGAAGACAAAUUCAAGAGGUCAUACGUAGAGUGUUGAGUGUGCAGAGUCUGGGACACAGAAGAUAAAUCCUCAGUCUUGUCCAAGAUCAGGAGAAUAAGAAGACUCUACCCUCUAAAACCAGGAGUCCAAAGGGCCAAAGGAAAGGUGAAUGUGAAAUUAACCUGCUGUGCAGAAGAGGAUCCCAGGAAAAAUCGUCUGUCUUGAUCAAAGUCCUGAAUAAAGGAGUAUAAAAAAUUGUCUUCCUUGAGAAUUCAUAACUAUGGUGUGGUCCAUAUGUAAUAUUAUGUCCCAAAUUCAUGAUACCAUGGAAUUAUUUUAAAAACUUCAUGAGCCCCAGUUUGUGGUGCUUUUAACGACUGGCAGAAGGAAAGACACGUCCUCUUGGAGGGCUAUCUUGAACCUAGGCCCCAAAGAAUUUCCAUAAUCAUAAUCAGAAAACACAAAACAUAUAAUAAGCAAGGCUCCAUGUAAGAGCAGACAGAAACAAAAUAUAAGGUCAGAUACACAAAGGCUUGGGUAUGAGAAUAAGCUGACACAGAAAAUAAGUGUAUCUAAUAGGUUUAAACAAACAAAAAGGAAGUUUGAAAAUAGAAGAAAGGAACAAGAGUCUAUAAAAAACAACUGAGUAGAUUUGAAAUCAAAAUACUUCUUUGUUUUUUUUCCCAACUAGAUAUUAUGUCCUUGAAGACACAGGGAUCAGGCUAAACACUUUAUAUGUUAUCAUUUGUCAAUUGAAGGAAGUUAGAAACAAACUACUCAAUUUUUUUUUUGAAACCCAGCAGUAAGAAUGAGAGUUGUGACUAAAUUUUUAAAAUGUCAAUGUAAAAACUCCUGUUGGAAAUUCCAAUCAAUCUCUUCUAGAGGAAAGGAAGACAAAGUAAGAAUUAAUGCAAUGCUUCUGGCUGACUGGCCUCCAGCAAAUGGCAUUGAGCUUUGUAAGUGGUCCAUCUACUCUGUUUCUCAUCUUGCAAAAACUUGUGACGUGAGCAUGUGUCCAUGUCCACUUGUGAGAAAAUCUAUUUAAAAUGUCGGCUGGGCGCGGUGGCUCACACCUAUAAUCCCAGCACUCUGGGAG